CUCUCAUUGGGGUCAGUGGAAAGCUGGUUAAACCGUUUGGUUUUCGACCACUACGACCCGGGUUCGAUUCCCGCAUUGGACA
rnacentral:tRNA from 1 species